rnacentral:rRNA from 1 species
CAGUCGCCGCGGGAAUACGGAGGGUGCAAGCGUUAAUCGGAAUUACUGGGCGUAAAGCGCACGCAGGCGGUCUGACAAGUCAGAUGUGAAAUCCCCGGGCCUAACCUGGGAACUGCAUUUGAAACUGUCAGGCUGGAGUCUUGUAGAGGGGGGUAGAAUUCCAGGUGUAGCGGUGAAAUGCGUAGAGAUCUGGAGGAAUACCGGUGGCGAAGGCGGCCCCCUGGACAAAGACUGACGCUCAGGUGCGAAAGCGUGGGGAGCAAACAGGAUUAGAUACCCCGGUAGUCCCUGUCUCUUAUAC